rnacentral:rRNA from 1 species
CGGGACGGGUGAGUAAUGUCUGGGAAACUGCCUGAUGGAGGGGGAUAACUACUGGAACGGUAGCUAAUACCGCAUAACGUCGCAAGACCAAAGAGGGGGACCUUAGGGCCUCUUGCCAUCGGAUGUGCCCAGAUGGGAUUAGCUAGUAGGUGGGGUAACGGCUCACCUAGGCGACGAUCCCUAGCUGGUCUGAGAGGAUGACCAGCCACACUGGAACUGAGACACGGUCCAG